UACACCAAAAACAUAGGGAACUUCGUCUCAACAAAGACGGGAGUUCCUACCGAACAUCCCUGGUCUCUAAGAAGGCUCCCGACGUGGGUCAAGAAAAUAAUGACUCCUUCAAGGUAAUGCGAAGUUCAGACCAUGAGCUCGAGCCUACGGCCAUGGAUGACAAGAAAAGCAAAUCAAUGUGGCGACGACUGGGCACCUCCAAACGACACCGACGUCGAACAAGUAGAAAAACAAAAGAAGUUCGAUGAACGACGGCCUAAUACAAGAUUGAACAAGGGGGAAGAGAAAGAAAGGCGACAAGAAAAGUAAAACAACAUGAUAACGGCUGGGGAUCUUCAAACUAUGUCGACGUCGAACAAGUCAAGAGACAAAAGAAGUUCGACGGACGAUAAUUUAAUGCAAUGCGUGGACGAGGUAACACAAAAUCUCCUUUUCAUUUCAUUUACGAAAUAUACACUACAAAGCCCAGCAGGCUAAGGGA
rnacentral:lncRNA from 1 species